UCCCUUUUGUGGAACUCUCCUGCUGAUAAAGAACAGAAAGUUGCUGUUGCAGCAGAAGUCGGAGAAGAAAAACACCAUGUAAAGACGUAUAAAGCAGGUCUUGUGCGGUUACAGAGGACAUGACAGCAUCAAGAGUUUGUAGGAGAAUCAUGAUGAUAAUCAGUUGCAAUGUGAACUAACAAAUAACCAUGAAGUACAAGCAGAUCCAAUUAAUGUGGAACAAAUAAAGGAGAAUCAUGAUGAUGAUGAGUUGCUAUGUGAACUACCAAAUAACCAUGAAGUACAACCAGAUUCAAAGCAUAUGGAACAAAUAGAGGUGGAUUCAACUUCAGACGACAACUUUUCCAAACACCUUGUGAAAGUCAUCUGAAUGCCAGGAUUCUCAAGAGCAUGAAGAUAGUCCAUUACAUAGAAGGAAGACCUUGAUUAUGUAUCUUGAUGCCAUUGGUGAAAAGGCAGAGGUCUAACACUGAAGUGAAGAAAAUGACUUGACAGCUGAAGGGAAC